rnacentral:tRNA from 1 species
ACCUGGCUGGCCCAGUCAGUAGAGCAUGUGACUUUUGAUCUUAAGGUUGUGAGUUCAAGUCCCACGUUGGGUA